UACGUAGGUGGCAAGCGUUACUCGGAAUUACUAGGCGUAAAGCGCAGGUAGGUGGUUGGGUAAGUCCGCAAUGAAAGCUCCCGGCUUAACUGGGAGAGGUUUGUGGAUACUGCUUGACUCGAGUGUGGGAGAGGUGACUGGAAUUCCCGGUGUAGCGGUGAAAUGCGUAGAGAUCGGGAGGAACACCAACGGCGAAAGCAGGUCACUGGCCCAAUACUGACACUGAGCUGCGAAAGCUAGGGGAGCAAACAGG
rnacentral:rRNA from 1 species